UACGUAGGUGGCAAGCGUUAUCCGGAAUUAUUGGGCGUAAAGGGAGAGUAGGCGGUUUAGAAAGUGUAAAGUAAAAGGCUAGUGCUCAACGCUAGUAUGCAUUACAAACUAAUAGACUAGAGUACAGGAGAGGUUAACGGAAUUCCAUGUGUAGCGGUGAAAUGCGUAGAUAUAUGGAGGAACACCGGUGGCGAAGGCGGUUAACUGGACUGGAACUGACGCUGAGGCUCGAAAGCGUGGGGAGCAAAUA
rnacentral:rRNA from 1 species